rnacentral:rRNA from 1 species
GAUGAACGCUGGCGGCGUGCCUAAUACAUGCAAGUCGAGCGAACGGACGAGAAGCUUGCUUCUCUGAUGUUAGCGGCGGACGGGUGAGUAACACGUGGAUAACCUACCUAUAAGACUGGGAUAACUUCGGGAAACCGGAGCUAAUACCGGAUAAUAUUUUGAACCGCAUGGUUCAAAAGUGAAAGACGGUCUUGCUGUCACUUAUAGAUGGAUCCGCGCUGCAUUAGCUAGUUGGUAAGGUAACGGCUUACCAAGGCAACGAUGCAUAGCCGACCUGAGAGGGUGAUCGGCCACACUGGAACUGAGACACGGUCCAGACUCCUACGGGAGGCAGCAGUAGGGAAUAUUGCGCAAUGGGCGAAAGCCUGACGGAGCAACGCCGCGUGAGUGAUGAAGGUCUUCGGAUCGUAAAACUCUGUUAUUAGGGAAGAACAGAUGUGUAAGUAACUGUGCACAUCUUGACGGUACCUAAUCAGAAAGCCACGGCUAACUACGUG